rnacentral:rRNA from 1 species
GCAAGUCGAACGCAGUAGCAAUACUGAGUGGCAGACGGGUGAGUAACAUGUGGGAAUCUGCCUUGUGGUUCAGGACAACAUUGGGAAACCGAUGCUAAUACUGGAUAAGCCCUUACGGGGAAAGUUUUAAUGCCAUAAGAUGAGCCCGCAUUUGAUUAGUUAGUUGGUGAGGUAAUGGCUCACCAAGACAAUGAUCAAUAGCUGAUCUGAGAGGAUGAUCAGCCACACUGGGACUGAGACACGGCCCAGACUCCUACGGGAGGCAGCAGUGGGGAAUCUUGCACAAUGGAGGAAACUCUGAUGCAGCGAUGCCGCGUGAGUGAAGAAGGCCUUUGGGUUGUAAAGCUCUUUUGUAGGGGAAGAUAAUGACUGUACCCUAAGAAUAAGGUCCGGCUAACUUCGUGCCAGCAGCCGCGGUAAUACGAAGGGACCUAGCGUAGUUCGGAAUUACUGGGCGUAAAGCGCGCGUAGGCCGUUGAGUUAGUUAAUUGUGAAAUCCCAAAGCUUAACUUUGGAACUGCAAUUAAAACUGCUCGACUAGAGUUUGAUAGAGGAAAGCGGAAUACAUAGUGUAGAGGUGAAAUUCGUAGAUAUUAUGUAGAACACCAGUUGCGAAGGCGGCUUUCUGGAU